rnacentral:rRNA from 1 species
AGUGAACGCUGGCGGUAGGCCUAACACAUGCAAGUCGAACGGCAGCACAGUAAGAGCUUGCUCUUACGGGUGGCGAGUGGCGGACGGGUGAGGAAUACAUCGGAAUCUACUUUUUCGUGGGGGAUAACGUAGGGAAACUUACGCUAAUACCGCAUACGACCUACGGGUGAAAGCAGUGGAUCUUCGGACCUUGCGCGAUUGAAUGAGCCGAUGUCGGAUUAGCUAGUUGGCGGGGUAAAGGCCCACCAAGGCGACGAUCCGUAGCUGGUCUGAGAGGAUGAUCAGCCACACUGGAACUGAGACACGGUCCAGACUCCUACGGGAGGCAGCAGUGGGGAAUAUUGGACAAUGGGCGAAAGCCUGAUCCAGCCAUACCGCGUGGGUGAAGAAGGCCUUCGGGUUGUAAAGCCCUUUUGUUGGGAAAGAAAAGAAGCAGGUUAAUACCCCGCUGUUCUGACGGUACCCAAAGAAUAAGCACCGGCUAACUUCGUG